rnacentral:lncRNA from 1 species
UUCAUGCUUCGGGCGGGGAAAAAAGACAGAGAAUUGGGGUUUUUUUUUUCAUAGGAUUUUGGGAAGAGUGAGGCAAUCGUUAGUGAAGUCAGUGUUGUAUUAGUGAAUCUGGAUUAUAAUGAAGUAGGUGUGAUUACUCUUGACUGUUUUGUGAAAUCGAAGUUACGUCUGUGAUUGAAGAAUUAAAAGGGUGUCUAUAGGAUUGAGUAUGCGGAGUGAAUGAAAUUUAUUGAGUU